AGAGUUUGAUCAUGGCUCAGAACGAACGCUGGCGGCGCGUUUUAAGCAUGCAAGUCGAACGGUAGAGAGGUGCUUGCACCUCUUGAGAGUGGCGAACGGGUGAGUAACGCGUAGAUGAUCUACCUUACGGUUGGGGAUAGCUCAUGGAAACAUGGGGUAAUACCGAAUGAGCUCUUGAAGCUGUAGCUUUGGGAGGAAAGGGGCUUCGGCCUCGCCGAGGGAUGAGUCUGCGUAUGAUUAGCUAGUUGGUGUGGUAAAGGCGCACCAAGGCGACGAUCAUUAGCCGGCCUGAGAGGGUGACCGGCCACAUUGGGACUGAGACACGGCCCAGACUCCUACGGGAGGCAGCAGCUAAGAAUCUUCCGCAAUGGGCGCAAGCCUGACGGAGCGACGCCGCGUGGGUGAAGAAGGCCGAGAGGUUGUAAAGCCCUUUUCUCACAGAAGAAUAAGCUUUUGAGGUAAUGCGAGAGUGAUGACGUUAUGUGAGGAAUAAGCACCGGCCAAUUACGUGCCAGCAGCCGCGGUAACACGUAAGGUGCGAGCGUUGUUCGGAAUUAUUGGGCGUAAAGGGCUCGUAGGUGGCCUGCCAAGUCCCACGUGAAAGACCAGGGCUCAACCCUGGGAGCGCGAGGGAAACUGGCAAGCUGGAAUCUUGGAGGGGGUACUGGAAUUCCUGGUGUAGGGGUGAAAUCUGUUGAUAUCAGGAAGAACACCGGAGGCGAAGGCGAGUACCUGGCCAAAGAUUGACGCUGAUGAGCGAAAGCGUAGGGAGCGAACAGGAUUAGAUACCCUGGUAGUCUACGCCGUAAACGAUGUGCACUUGGUGGUGGUCCCGUCC
rnacentral:rRNA from 1 species